rnacentral:rRNA from 1 species
AACGAACGCUGGCGGCAGGCUUAACACAUGCAAGUCGAGCGAGACCUUCGGGUCUAGCGGCGGACGGGUGAGUAACGCGUGGGAACGUGCCCUUCUCUACGGAAUAGCCCCGGGAAACUGGGAGUAAUACCGUAUACGCCCUUUGGGGGAAAGAUUUAUCGGAGAAGGAUCGGCCCGCGUUGGAUUAGGUAGUUGGUGGGGUAAUGGCCCACCAAGCCGACGAUCCAUAGCUGGUUUGAGAGGAUGUUCAGCCACACUGGGACUGAGACACGGCCCAGACUCCUACGGGAGGCAGCAGUGGGGAAUCUUAGACAAUGGGGGCAACCCUGAUAGAGCCAUGCCGCGUGAGUGAUGAAGGCCUUAGGGUUGUAAAGCUCUUUCAGCUGGGAAGAUAAUGACGGUACCAGCAGAAGAAGCCCCGGCUAACUCCGUG